rnacentral:rRNA from 1 species
UUACCCACUCCCGGCACGGGGAGGUAGUGACGAAAAAUAACGAUACGGGACUCAUCCGAGGCCCCGUAAUCGGAAUGAGUACACUCUAAACCCUUUAACGAGGAUCAAUUGGAGGGCAAGUCUGGUGCCACGAGCCGCGGUAACUCCAGCUCCAAUAGCGUAUAUUAAAGUUGUUGCGGUUAAAAAGCUCGUAGUCGAAUUUGUGUCUCGCGCCGCCGGUUCAUCGUCCGCGGUGUCAACUGGCGUGUCGCGAGACGUCCUGCCGGUGGGCUUAGCUCGCAAGAGCGGCCCAACUCAAUCCUGCCGCGGUGCUCUUCACUGAGUGUCGAGGUGGGCCGGCACGUUUACUUUGAACAAAUUAGAGUGCUUAAAGCAGGCUAAAACUUCGCCUGAAUACUGUGUGCAUGGAAUAAUGGAAUAGGACCUCGGUUCUAUUUUGUUGGUUUUCGGAACCCCGAGGUAAUGAUUAAUAGGAACGGAUGGGGGCAUUCGUAUUGCGACGUUAGAGGUGAAAUUCUUGGAUCGUCGCAAGACGGACAGAAGCGAAAGCAUUUGCCAAAAACGCUUUCAUUGAUCAAGAACGAAAGUUAGAGGUUCGAAGGCGAUCAGAUACCGCCCUAGUUCUAACCAUAAACGAUGCCAGCUAGCGAUCCGUCGACGUUCCUCCGAUGACUCGACGGGCAGCUUCCGGGAAACCAAAGCUUUUGGGUUCCGGGGGAAGUAUGGUUGCAAAGCUGAAACUUAAAGGAAUUGACGGAAGGGCACCACCAGGAGUGGAGCCUGCGGCUUAAUUUGACUCAACACGGGAAACCUCACCAGGCCCGGACACCGGAAGGAUUGACAGAUUGAGAGCUCUUUCUUGAUUCGGUGGGUGGUGGUGCAUGGCCGUUCUUAGUUGGUGGAGCGAUUUGUCUGGUUAAUUCCGAUAACGAACGAGACUCUAGCCUGCUAACUAGGCGCAUUUUGACAUCGCAAAGGCCCGCCGGCUUGGGG